UUUAUUAAUGCGGUUUUGUUAUUUAUUUGUUAAUUAUUUGUGACUUUAUUUUAGUAGUUGACGUAUAAUUGAAGUGGGAAUAAUAUUAUUCUGUAUUUAUUUUAGUGUGUAUAAUUAUUGCAUGUAGUUCAUUGCGCAUGCGUGAGAACUGCUUCACGCUCGUGACGGAUUUCCAAAAUGUAUGUUUGUGUACGUCUUAAAUAAGAGUGUGGUGUUUUCUGGCAGUCAUAUUCUAUGUUCUAUGGAGUGGAUCCAUAAUUUAUCUCUGCGGAAUUCCUGCAUGUACACUUCCUUCUACGAUGAUUAAUUGUGGACUAGGUUUCCACUAUCUGCACUAUUCGACAAGCAGUGUCGCACUUACUUUGAUGGCUGUCAUACGUUAUGUUUUACGAAUAUGGGCUUAUGGCCUGUCUUUGCAUAUACACUUCCUUUUACAAUAGUUAAUUGUUCACAAGGCACUUUUCACUUUCACCGUUUUAAUCACUUUAUUGAAUUAAUACAUUUUAUAUUUGAGUAAUGUCUAGAAAGUACAUAGUAAUUUCCUUUUCUUUUUAG
rnacentral:misc_RNA from 1 species